GUAGGGAAUAUUGCACAAUGGGCGAAAGCCUGAUGCAGCAACGCCGCGUGCGCGAUGAAGGCCUUCGGGUUGUAAAGCGCUUUUCUGGAGGACGAGUAAGGACGGUACUUCAGGAAUAAGGAUCGGCUAACUACGUGCCAGCAGCCGCGGUAAUACGUAGGAUCCGAGCGUUAUCCGAAUUUACUGGGCGUAAAGCGCGUGCAGGCGGUUUGGCAAGUUGGAUGUGAAAGCUCCUGGCUCAACUGGGAGAGGCCGUUCAAGACUGCCAGACUAGAGGGCGACAGAGGGAGGUGGAAUUCCCGGUGUAGUAGUGAAAUGCGUAGAUAUCGGGAGGAACACCAGUGGCGAAGGCGGCCUCCUGGGUCGUUCCUGACGCUCAGACGCGAAAGCUAGGGGAGCGAACGGGAUUAGAUACCCCAGUAGUCC
rnacentral:rRNA from 1 species